rnacentral:lncRNA from 1 species
AGGCAGUGACCUCCUCCCAGGACUCCACUGUGCACAACUGUCAUACAGCUCAACACUGUUGUCCCUGGAUUACCUCGCUGCUUUGAUCUGUCACUGAAGUUGCUGUUUGUUGGCUAAUUCUCUGGCGGGUGGUUCAGAUACAAGGCCCCGAAACCUCAAGAAGGCAAGAGGUCAAAGGAUGCAACAGAGGUGAAGGAAAAGAGUCGUGGCAAAUAAACCUUACUAUGACCUCCAGAAGUCAACAAGCUCUGUUUUGAUGUUAGAAGGGAGAUGAAAAUAGAAUAUAUAUAUAAAAGAAGAAACAAAUCCAAAGAUUACUGAAAUUCAACAGUGCUUCAGAUGAUCACUCUUCAGUGAAGAAAAGGACUUUUCACUCUCGACAUAGGGCAAUGCCUUUGAAAUCGAUGAGCUUAAAUGAAGCAUAGACUGGGGACAUCUACCGUUCUCAUCACAGCUGCUGCCACAUCAUGGAGAGUAUUGCUAACACAAUGGAAGAGGAAUUAAGCUGCCCAUCUGUGCAAAGUAGGCUGUUUUGUCUGCUCACGGUUGAUUAGUGGGAGCAAAUGGACUUUUGCUAAUGUUGGGGGCACAGUUCUGGAAGAUGGAAGACCCACAUUCGAGUCCCUCCUCUUGCUGAUUAAGACCAUCACACCUUGGACGACCCGCCUUUACCGAAGAUCAGCAGCCCCGACACCAAGACAUCGCUGGAUGAGAGGUAGCCAUGGAAGGAAAUGGCUGCCCCAGUUAGAAGCUGAGAAUGAAAUGACUCCUUUUCGGCUGCAGCAUUAGAGGGGCCUUCAGUAGACCAUGUGCUACAUGAGCACUCAUCUCAGCCUUGGGAACACUCCUGGGAUGCACUUUUUUUUCUCUAUCCAACCUCCAGGUAUAGCCUCAAAUCCAGCUCUACCAUUGUCACGAGUGAAAUAAGCAUUUUUUCCAUUGCAGUUUUGUUUACAACUGCCAGAUUGCUGUUAUCACCCUUUCAGCUGGGAUUAUUCUAAUACUGGAAAAACUUCUUAGAAUUAUGUUCUCUGUGGUAAUUCAUCUUGGUUCACAAAGGGUUUUUUGAAGCUUUUGCAGGAAAAAGAAAUGGAAAUCACUGCACAGCUUACAUCACAGUUUUAGAAGAUCUUAGAGCUAGCAUUAC